rnacentral:rRNA from 1 species
GACGAACGCUGGCGGCGUGCUUAACACAUGCAAGUCGAACGGAAAGGCCCUGCUUUUGUGGGGUGCUCGAGUGGCGAACGGGUGAGUAACACGUGAGUAACCUGCCCUUGACUUUGGGAUAACUUCAGGAAACUGGGGCUAAUACCGGAUAGGAGCUCCUGCUGCAUGGUGGGGGUUGGAAAGUUUCGGCGGUUGGGGAUGGACUCGCGGCUUAUCAGCUUGUUGGUGGGGUAGUGGCUUACCAAGGCUUUGACGGGUAGCCGGCCUGAGAGGGUGACCGGCCACACUGGGACUGAGAUACGGCCCAGACUCCUACGGGAGGCAGCAGUGGGGAAUAUUGAACAAUGGGCGGAAGCCUGAUGCAGCAACGCCGCGUGCGGGAUGACGGCCUUCGGGUUGUAAACCGCUUUCGCCUGUGACGAAGCGUGAGUGACGGUAAUGGGUAAAGAAGCACCGGCUAACUACGUG